rnacentral:rRNA from 1 species
ACGCGCAGAACCUUACCAACCCUUGACAUGGAGGGGACCGAUCCAGAGAUGGAUUUUUCUCGUAAGAGACCCCUCACACAGGUGCUGCAUGGCUGUCGUCAGCUCGUGUCGUGAGAUGUUCGGUUAAGUCCGGCAACGAGCGCAACCCACGUCUUUAGUUGCCAGCAUUCAGUUGGGCACUCUAAAGAAACUGCCGGUGAUAAGCCGGAGGAAGGUGUGGAUGACGUCAAGUCCUCAUGGCCCUUACGGGUUGGGCUACACACGUGCUACAAUGGUGGUGACAAUGGGUUAAUCCCAAAAAGCCAUCUCAGUUCGGAUUGGGGUCUGCAACUCGACCCCAUGAAGUCGGAAUCGCUAGUAAUCGCGUAACAGCAUGACGCGGUGAAUACGUUCCCGGGCCUUGUACACACCGCCCGUCACACCAUGGGAAUUGGAUCUACCCGAAGGUGGUGCGCCAACCAGCAAUGGAGG